GCUUUGGUCUCUUGUUUUGGUCACAAACGAUGGUAGCAUGUCCCUCUCUCUCUUGAAAACCUUUUUGAGGUUGCAAGCUUUUUUCUCGUUUGCAUGGUUGGCAGGAACAGUCUGAAAGUCUGAGGCCCCAGCUGAUUGAUUCAAGCACUAUAGGAAAAAGAUGAUACAGGAACAGAAUAUAUGAAAAUCGCAAUGAAAACAUAUGCCAUUUGGGUGGAACAUCACGAAACAUACGCAAGCAAACAAGUGGAUGUCCAACUCCACAAAAUAAUCACACAGAAUCCCACAAAAUCAUAGACUCCAUCACGUUUUUCUAAUCUACAUGCAUUUCUUAUAUUAAUUCAGUCAAAUUACCAAAAAGCUUAUUAAUCCUUCUCUCUAUUUGUUUUUCUGUUUCUUUUCCUUUUUUUUUUUCGUUUUUUUUUUCCUUGUGUGCCUCUAUUAGUUAUAAUAAAAUGAUGCAAGUUCCACCACCACGUCCAUCAAUCUCCCCUUUUUACCACCAUUCUUUCAUAUAGUAUACAUACACCGAGCCAAGCCUUCUCGAUGCCGCCGCCACCACCACCUAUCGGAUUAUAUACAAAACGUUGCCCGGAUUAUUUACUUCUGCGCACCAGAAGUCCCUUGUCUCCGCGGCAACCAGUGUGACUCUAGAAGAAAAUGUGAAGAAAAGAAGAACCCAAGGAAGAGAGCUGGGGGACAUGUCGUCGGAGAUCGCCAAGCGCGAGCAGCCCAGCCCCGAUCUAAAGCUGGCUGCUCGUUCGCCUCCGACGAGAGCUUGCCCCCAGUUUUGCCCACACCAAAAACGAUGGGCGUUUCUCCCUCUUCCUCCCGACUGUGAUCCAAGUGAUAGAUCCAAUCCUAUACCUGUUCAAACUCCUGCACACUACUUGUCUAGUAGUUCUCCUACAACCCCUGCCCGAGACCCCGAUUGUACACACCAGUCAAACCAUCCUCCUCCAAAGUAACCAUUUUCCUGUCCACCACCACCUCCUCCACCUUUGUUCUUCCUGUUCUUAAGUUACCCUCAGAAAUCCAAGUUGAGGAUCCUGCGCAGUCCUCGAGUGGCCGCCUCCGUGUCCAUGAUCCUGGCAAACUCGGCCUGCACCGCCAGCAUCUCCGGCUUCCUCAGCGAGAAGUUUGGAAUCGGGAGAGAGCUGGGCGGAGGCGAGUUUGUGAAGGCCGGCCCGGCCCACUUCUCGUCGAACAAUGGCGGAGGAUAAAAGGCCUCGCCAAAGUUCCGGGCAAACGGGCCACCACACCCAUCGCUUACGACGUUGUUGUUGUUGUUGUUGUUAGCAGCUCCGACUGGUUCUUCUAAAACUUUCGUUGUUCUCGUUGAUGAAUCUACAGUAGUAGUAGUAGUAGUAGUAGCAGCCACCUUGGUAGCCUUCUUCUCCUCCUCUUUCUCCUCCUCCUUCACUAAAACACCACCUCGUUGUUCUUCCUUCUUCGUCUCUAGAGCGGCGGCGGCGGCGACGAUUUGGGCCACCACCUUGACGACUUUGACGGACUUGGCAGUCCUAGCAGCACCGUCACGCUGCCUGUUCUUCGCGACAACUCCAGCACCCGCUUUCACCACCGGAUCAUCCGCCCUCUUGCUCGAACCCUUCACAGCGGCGUUCUCGGGAGCCGAAAGCCCGUUCUUUGCAUACACCUCCGACAGUGGGAGCCCGGUGAUCUUGGCCAGAUCGCGCAUUGCGGCUUCCUUGGACUGCGGGCGCUGCAAAAUCGUGAUUUUGGGUGGCGACUCCUCCUUCCUGGUGCCACCCUUGUCCUUCUUGACAAAACCCAUCUUUGAUUUGGGCUUCGGGGCGAUUCCAUUCUCCCCGACCUUGCUGCCCUUGGUUUUAUUGCUGCCGUUGCCUCCUUUGCCAGAAACCUUGGUAUUCCCUUUCGCGUUCUUGGAAGGGGAAGAUCUCCCCUUUGGAGGUUGAUUCUGGUUCUGGGACAAUCGGCCGCUGGCAGUGGACGGCCGCGCAUCCGCCGUCCGAGAGAGUGCAACGGGAGAAAGAGGGGAAAAAUCGGUCACGGAACUCGUUCGCUGGAUGGAUCUAGACGCUGGCGACGAGAGAUCUGCCUUGUGAUACCUGGGAGGAGUGGAGCGCGGGGAGAAGAGAUCCAUAACACUGCGCUUCUGCCAAUACUGGUGCUGUGAUAGCUGAUCUUGCGACGGCAGCACCAAUGUCUCCAUAAUCUCUAGCAAUUCUAUCAAGCGCCUUCCUUCCCUCAACUCUGAUGAUCAUGCCACUGGCAAACAAAAGAAUAAAAAACCUAGCCGCCAUAGCCAAAGGACGCCAUAGCCAAGUAACCGUGCCCGUCGCCAGCAUAUUCCGCUACGUUUGCCGACGCGUAAAGAUAUUCCACGCAUCGCCGGUCAAGCUCCAGCCGCGUGGCACCGCGCCUUUGAAAAAGUUUCGCCGACGGCGACCGACCACGUGUCGCACGGCGAUUGUGUGCACUGCUAAGUGUCGUUAGCUGGCGAUUACAUUAAUCUACAUCCGCGUUUAUACGUAAAUUUACAUUAAAUACACCACAUUUUAUAUCUCCAAGACUUGACACGCAACCAGCUCGACGCGGCCAAAGCUCUUGCUCGCGAUCACCGUCCACGAUUCCGCCUCGGAAUCCCCCGCGCCACGCCCGCCGUCGAUCUCCGCCCGCAGAAUGGUCACGUUGUUCCCGGCGUCCUUGGUCACCACAUGAAGGCCGCUCCUCAGGCACCCGAGCAAGUAUGGCGACUCCGACUCGGUGGAGAGAUCCAAGACCAUGGGCACCUUCCGCACCACCACCCUCCAGCAAUCCUGCUCGAAGUCAUACACCUUGAUCUUGCUGCCCUCGGCGGUGCUCAUCGGAUCCAGCGAGAACAAGCUCCCGUUCACCACCACGCUCAGCUUCAUCCCGGCCUGGCGAGCCGGCCACCCCUCGCCCAUCCCGCGCGGCAUCUCCUCCCACCUCCCGGACACCGGAUCAAACACCUCGCCACCAACGUCCACGAAGAAGGGCCACGAGUAAAGCGACUGCGGCACCCACAGCUUCCCCCGGAACGCCGCCAUCCCGGUGGCGAUGGGCUUGAGUAUGUCCGUCACGAACGCCGUGGGAAGAACUUGGGCGCCCACGAACGGCAUGCUGGGGAUCGCGCUCCAGGCGUCGGCCUCCGGAUCGUAAACCUCCGCCGACUGGAGUGGAGUGAGGCCAUUCCGGCCACGGUUCACGCCACCCACAGCGUACAAGUUGCCAUCCACCAGCCCCGUCUUGCAGUAAGCUCGCGCGGUCCCCAUGGCGGCGGCCUUGCUCCAGGAGUUUGUCCGCGGAUCGUACUUCCACACCGAGGACGUCGCCGAGGCCUUGGAGAAUCCCCCCAGGACGAACAGGCAGCCGUGGAGCUCCGCCGCCGAGCAGCCGAAGAAUGGGAUCCUCUCGGAGGAGUCCUUCUUCCCAAACAGCGACCUCACCAUCCCGGAGAUGGAAGAGCCGAGCUCCCACAAGCUCCAUCCGGCGAGAUCUCUUUCCUGCUGCUGCUGGCGAUGGUGCUGGUGAUGAUCCACGUCGGGCAUGGGCGGCAAUCUCCGCCACUGGGCCGUGAGUGGAUCAAGCGCAAACCACACCAAUUCCUCCUCCUUGUCUUUCAUGAGCACGUAGAGCCACUCCUCCACCACGCCCAGCUCGCGCCUCAGCCGGAAGAUCUCGCUCGAGCUCAUGACCUGCCGCCACGAGCUACACACGAGCUUCAUCGCCGGAUGCCGCGAGCGCGGCACCCGCGCCAGGGCGUGCAUCGCGACCUCGUCCGGAAGCCCUGGAAUCAACUGCCACUGGUGCUCCCCCGCGAUGCGCCUCUGGCGCUUCGAAGAGUCGCCGCUGCUGCCGAUCGAAGGAAUGGCCGCUGCAUUACCGGCGCCUCCAGGCCGGGAAUUCCCUCCCGGAUCCGCAGAGCUCCAAGAGGCGCCCAUGGAUUUCCUGCGCGAAAACCCUGCGCGCCGUGCCCGGCGAUGGAUCCAGGAAUGCCUAGAGGAGGAAUCCUUACAUGGCGCUCGCGGAUCGCUGGCCCUCGCUUAGGGUUUUUGGCCCGGGGAUUCGAACAAGCAAAUGCACAAAAUAUCCUCUGUUUUUAGGGUUCUUCUCAAAAUAUCCUCUGUUUUAGGGCUCUUGUGAAAUCCCCUGUUUCAAGAACUUUGAUCUUCUUCGUCGUCGCCUUGAUCUUCCUCGAUUUCUUCUUCACCAUCCUCGUCCUCCUCCUCCUCCUCCUCGCUUUCAUCGCUUUCUUCUUCUUCUUCCUCCAGCUGCGAUUUCACACCAUAGCUUUGAUUCAAGUAGUCGAUCCCCGAGCUCGUGAAGAGGAUCUUGUCCGCGCGAAGAACAUCGUAGAGAUUCAGGCUCCGCGGCGUCAGCAUCUUCACCGUCUUGAUGUUCCUGCUCGAUUUCUCCAGGAAAUCGUUCACAUUAGUCGCGAAGAUGAGCGAGUGCUUGCUCACGUCCACGCCCCAUCUCUCCAUCGCCGCCAGGAAGAACUUCGUCUUGGGCUCCGUAAAUUUCUCUUCGAAGUCCUCCACCGCGAUGGAAUCCACCGCCGCGCUCUGGAGAGCCGUGCUGAUCGCGAGCCUCUUCUCCUUCUUGUUGAUCUUGAUCCCCCAGUCCUUGGGCUUGGGCCCAAACACGAUCCCUCCGCCAGGCCGCAGUGGCGUUCGCUGCGAUCCCCGGCGCGCUCUUCCCGUCCCCUUCUGCUUGUAGGGCUUCCUCCCUCCUCCGCGAACCUCCGCCCUCGUCUUGGUCGACGCUGUGCCGCGCCGGCGAUUCUGGAGCUCCGUGAUCACGCCCCUGUGGACCAAUCCCCGGGCCGUGUGAGCGCUGGCGACCUUGAGAUCCAGGAACACCGAGCCCGUGCACUCGCCAUCGAAGGAGAAGAGGGGCAGCGUCGCUCCUCCCGACGAGGAAGCCGCCCUAAUCGUCGCGUUCCGCCGGGAUCGCUCCACAUUCUGUGGCGCUGGCGCUGGAAUGGCUGCUGGGCUCUGGAAGAACGAGGAUCUCACGCUCAAUCCCUCGUAGACGACGCACCUGGGAUUCCAUGCCGGGGAGAGCGUCGUCGCCAUAGCCAUUAGGGUUCUUGGCAGGGGAUAAGGCAAUCUGGACCGUUGGAAUUCAAACCAGAAUGCCGCUCUUCACCGUCCGAUCGCGGCGGGAAGAAUGGGAGAACGAUCCCUUCUCGACGAAGAACGAGCUCUCCUCGCAGCUACUGUCAGAUCCGCGGGGAAUUCCAAAAGCUUGGCUCGAGGAAGAGAGAUCCACUGCCAGAUCCUCGCCUCCCCGCACGCCCACAGCAGAUUUCUCAGCAAUCUCCUCAUCGAGAUGUAUGGGAAAUGCGGCAGCGUCGAGGACGCCGAGGCCGUCUACGAGCGAAUUCGCGAGCCCAAUCUCUUCACCAACAACAUCCUGAUCGCGUGCUACGCCAGGAACGGGCAAUUCCACCGCGCGGAGUCUCUCUUCGAUCGGAUGCCCCAGAAAGAUUCCGUGUCGUGGACAGCGAUGAUCACGGCCUAUUCCAACGCAGCAAAGAUCGACCUCGCGAAAAAUCUCUUUGAUCGCAUCCCAGUCCCCAGCCCAGAGUCAUGGAACGCCCUCGCCUCAGCAUAUACUCAAAAUGGGCAAUUUGAUAGAGCGCUCGAUCUUCUCAACAAAAUGCCCAAUAAAGAUUUAGUGUCAUGGAAUUCUAUCAUAACAGGUCUAGCCCAAAGCGGGCAGAUCGAACUCGCGAGAAAGGUGUUUGAUCAAAUGGAAAGAAAGAACAUUGUCUCCUGGAACACCAUAAUCACGGCAUAUGCCCAAAGUCGGGAUCAUUCUCAAGCCAAGAGCCUCUUUGAUCGAAUGCCAGAGAGGAAUUCCACAUCCUGGAACGUCCUCAUCACGUCAUACACAGAGAGGGGAGACCUCAAUCGUGCUAAAACUCUUUUCGAUUCAAUGCCCAAGAGCGAUGAUCUCACUGCCUGGAACUCAAUGCUCGCCGGCUAUGCCGCACGGGGCAAUCUCCAAGAAUCCAUCGCCCUAUUCCAGCGGAUGCCCGCGAAAGAUACCACCUCGUGGACCAAUCUUGUCCUUUCACACAUCAGUAGGGGUGAUCUCCGCGGCGCACAAACAACAUACCAGCAAAUGCCCCAAAAAUCCACACACUCAUCCACCACAAUCCUCACCGCUUUUGCCCAGCGCGGAGAUCUCACCUCCGCCGAAUACAUCUUCACCCACAUAACACCGCCGGACACGGCCGCCCGCAACGCGAUGCUCGCGGCAUAUUCGCUCAACGGUCACCUGGAAGAUGCCCGGCGAAUAUUCGACGCCAUGCCCGACCGGGACGCUAUCUCCUGGACCUCGCUCAUCUCCGCCUACGCGGCGCGCUCGGAGGCGCUGGUGCUCUUCGCGAGGAUGGAUCUGGAGGGCGCCGCGAUCGAUCGAGUCGCGCUCGUUGCCAUCGCCGACGCCUGCGCGGACCUCUCACGGGGGAGGAUGAUCCACUCGGAGAUCCGUGCCAUGGGCUUCCACCGCGACCGCCGGGUGGGCACCGCGCUGAUCACGAUGUACUCUCGGUCCGGCAGCUUGGAGGAGGCGGCGUUGAUCUUCGAGGAUUUGCCCGAGAGAGACGCCCAGUGCUGGAACUCGAUGAUGGCGGCGUAUGCCCAGCUCGGGCAUAUCAUCCAGGCCGUCCGUCUCGCCCAACUCAUGUGCCUCGACGGUGUGAGAUGGGACGGAGUGACGCUGCUGUGCCUCCUCUCGAGCUGCAGCCAUGGAGGAGCCUUCCAGAUCGGGUACGAGCUCUUCCGCUCGGCAAGCACGGAUUUUUCCGUCGCGAGGGGCGCGGAUCACUACGGCUGCAUGGUCGAUCUCCUGGGACGAGCCGGAUGGAUGGAGCAAGCCCAGGAGCUGCUGGACUCGAUGCCUUUCGUGCCAGAUCUCGCGGCCUGGACGAGCUUCAUAACUUCCGGAGUAACACAUCACGGCACCAAAGUUUCCAGAUCUGGCCAAGCCAUUGUUUCGCAAAGCUGAUCAUCGCUCAUCCUGCAAGAGCACACAAUCAUUAGUAAAGAGAGAGAAAGAAUGCUAAACUUCCAGAAACCACGCGUACCUGGAAAGUCUGCCAUUUCAUGAUCACCACCAUGCCUUUUAUGUCGAAGGCUCUCAUAACUGGUGUCCUGCCCCUGUCGCGCUGACGCUGCCGCUGCUGCUAUCCGACGGCUCCAGGAUUUCCAUCAAGUCGGCACAGUCGAUCGACACUAUCCAGUUCUCCUGCUUCACUUGCUUGAGCUUGUCCACAACCUCGCGCAUGCUCGGCCUGUCCCCGAGCGACGAGCUCGUACACAUGAGUGCCGCCUUGAGCACCAGCAGCAUCUCCAGCCUCUCCGUCCGGGACACCUUUUGGAGCAGCGGGUCGAUGAGAUCGUCCACGCUCGCCUUCUGGCUGAUCCUCAGCCGCACCCAGCUUACAAUGUCCACGCCGUCUGGAAAAGUUGGAUCCACAGGGAGCUUGCCAGUCACCAGCUCCAUGAGAACCACUCCAAAGCUGUAGAUGUCCGUCUUCUCCGACGCACGCAUUGUGUACGCGUACUCUGCAAGGAAACAGAAAGCCAUGAGAACACCGCUGGAUAGAUAGAGAACUUGCAAAUCUAAACAGCAAGGAGAAAAAACGGAAGAACAGGCAACAGGCAUAAUAGCACUUCGACACAAUGAAGAAACAUUACGGAAGUACGUACCUGGAGCGAUGUAACCAUAGGAUCCCGCGAAAACGGACAGUGUGUGAGAGCUGCUGCUGCUGUCAAUGAUCUUGGCCAGGCCAAAGUCGCCUAGGUGCGGCUCAUCCCGGGAGUCCAGCAAGACGUUGUUGGACUUGAUAUCACGAUGAACGAUCCGCGGAGCACAGUCGUGAUGCAAGUAAGCGAUCCCUUCGGCAAUACCAACGGCAAUCCGGUGUCUCGACUCCCAAUCUAAAACACCCGCAUUGUUCUUCUCGGUACAGGCCGACCCGUGUAACCGAUCAAACAAGCUUCCGUUGGGCAUGUAGUCGUAGACGAGCAAGUUGACGCCUUUGUGCGAACAGAAGCCGACGAGGCGGACGAGGUGCCUGUGCCGGAUCUUGCCCAGAGUCGAGACCUCGCGGAGAAAGCUCUUGUCCUGCGUCGGAUCUCCAUCUCCGGCGACGUCAACUUUCUUCACGGCCAGAACUUCGCCCGAUGGUAGAAUCGCCUUAUACACUGUUCCGAAUCCACCACUUCCGAUGAUGUUGAGAUCGCUGAGCGAGUCCGUGGCUUGCAUCAGAUCGCUGAAAGUGAGCUGCCUGCUGAGCAUCGGGAACAACCUGUGAUCCUUGUAGAACUUUGUGGAAGCAGCGAGACGAAUCCUGCCACGGUCUCGCUUGUAGAAGACGAGAAUAUAGAUGGCGGAUCCCAGAGUGACGAGAGCGACGAGCGAGCACACCAGCGACGCGAUUAGAACGAUCCGGUGUUUUUUUCGAUGAGGUGGCCUGCUUCCGCUGGAAGUCGUAGAGCCCGGAUCGCUGGACGAACCUUUGCAUGCUGGGAGGAGAAUGACUUUGCUCUUGCUGGAAGUGGACGAGGAUGACAAACUCUCGCUGCAAAGAUCCCUGUUGUUGGAGAAGGAACUCUGCGUCAUUCGAUCGAAGACCGGGCCGCUAGGAACAGGCCCCGAGAGGUUGUUGGACGAGAGGUUGAGCGACAAGAGGCUGAUCAUGUUGUUCGCCAGGGACUCCGGGAUCGUUCCAGAGAUCGCGUUGCUGGACAGAUUCAAGACCUCCAGCUUGGAGAGCAUGCCGAGCUCCGGAGGGAUGCUGCCGUUGAGCCGAUUGAAGCUAAGAUCCAGCGACGUUUGCAAGUUCUGGAGCUUUCCCAGCUCUCGCGGGAUCCCGCCCUGGAGACUGUUGCGGGAGAGGUUUACCUCGAGCAGCAAUCCACAGUUUCCAAUGGACGCUGGAAUCUGCCCCUCCAGAUCGUUCCCUUGGAGCUCCAAGAACUGGAGCGACUGGAGAAUCCCUAGCGCCGCCGGAAUCCUCCCGCUCAGCCUGUUCUCCGCGAGCUUGAGCGUCGAGAUUUUGGGGCAGCCGCUGAUGAUCGAGCCAGGGAUUUCGCCGAUGAGCUCGUUCUGGGACAGAUCAAGCUCCCCCAGCUGCUUGAGGCCGCCGAUCUCCUCUGGAAUCCUACCUUGGAGCCGAUUUCCAUUCAGCUUGAUGUGCGUGAGAUUCUUGCAGCUCGCGAGAAUCGAUGGAAUGGCCCCGGCCAAGCGAUUGAAGCUGAGAUCCACGAAAGAGAGAGCCGUGAUGUUCCCCAGCUCCGCCGGAAUCAAACCCUCGAUCUUGUUCCCGCCCAAACGAAGCCUCCACAGAGUUGAGGAUAUUCCCAGGCUAGGAGGGAUAUUCCCGCCAAUGCCAUUGUCCGUUAGAUCAAGAACCUGGAGCGCGCCCGACGAUCCAAGAAGUGGAGGGAUUUUCCCGCCGAGGAGAUUAUCGGAGAGAUUGAUCGUCGUGAGGUUGUGGCAGCAGCUGGCGAUGGAUUCCGGCACGGCACCAGUGAGAUUGUUCUGGUAGAGCAGCAGCAUCUCCAGAUCGGCCAUGGCGCUCGUUAGGUCUUGGGGAAUCGCCCCGGAGAGGCUGUUCUCCGCAAGAUCGAGCUUGCGCAUCUUGGCGCACCUCGCCAUAGGCGCCGGGAUCGAUCCAGACAGCCGAUUCCUUCGCAGAUGGAGAAACGUGAGCGCGCCAAGGCCGCCGAUCGAGCUAGGGAUGGCGCCGUCGAGGAGAUUCUCGGAGAGAUCCAGCAACGUCAGCUUGGAGCAGCUACCGAUCGAGGCUGGAAUAUUGCCGCUGAGCUUAUUGCGGUAGAGGUAGAGCUCAUCGAGCUGCUCGAGCGAGCCGAUCGAGGCCGGGAUGGAUCCGUUGAGCUGGUUCUCAUACAGCGCCAGCACUGCCAGGUUCUUGCAUGAUCCGAUCUCCUCCGGUAUCGACCCCGUCAGUGAAUUCGAUUGGAGCACCAGGUCCGUGAGCAUCGAUAAUCUCCCGAUCGACGCCGGGAUCGUCCCUGUGAGCCGAUUGCUCGAGAGAUCCAGCCGCUGCAAGCUCCUGCAUUCCCCGAUCUCUCCAGGAAUCUCGCCGCUGAGCCGGUUGGAUCCCAGGAAGAGCUGCUCCAGCCUCGCCAGGCCACCGAUCGAGGACGGGAUUUCUCCUGAUAGUUGAUUCAUCGAUAGCGCCAAGUUCUCCAGGCUAGCCAAGCUUCCAAUCCAGUCCGGGAUGGGCCCCGAGAUGGAAUUCUCGGAUAGAUCCAGCGUCUCCAGCGCCGCGAGCUUGGCCAGGGAGUCGGGCAGCUGGCCCGUGAGAUCGUUGCCCUGAAGAUUGAGGUAGACGAGCUGACGGCACUGCCCGACCUCCUCGGGGACGCUACCGGACAGCGAGUUAUUAAAUAUGGAGAGCGUUUGAAGAGCCGCGAGGUCCGAGAUGCCGCGCGGUAUGGGGCCGGUGAGGCGAUUUUCGGACAGCCCGAGGACGGUGAGCUGGCGGCACUGUGUGACCUCGGGCGGUAUACCGCCGGAGAGGUUGUUGUAAUGGAGCAUCAGCGACUCGAGGGCGACGAGCUGGCCGAUGCCGCGCGGUAUGCCGCCGGAGAGCUCGCAGUUGGCGAGGCCCAGGAUCUGGAGAGAGUGGAGGCCUGCGAUCGAGUCUGGGAUUGGGCCGGAGAAGAGAUUGUCGCCUGCGCGGAGGACUUGGAGCGUGGAGAGGCGGCCGAUCUCGCUGGGAAUGGAGCCCGAGAGCAAAUUGGAGUAGACGAGGAGCUCGGUCAGUAGCGUGGCGUUGGCGAUGGAAGCUGGGAGUGGUCCUGUGAGGCUGUUCUCGUUGA
rnacentral:lncRNA from 1 species